rnacentral:rRNA from 1 species
CUUAGGAUGAACGCUAGCGACAGGCCUAACACAUGCAAGUCGAGGGGCAGCACAAGGAGCAAUCUGAGGUGGCGACCGGCGCACAGGUGAGUAACACGUAUGCAACCUGCCUGUAAGCGGGGAAUAACCCGUUGAAAGACGGACUAAUACCGCAUAAUACUAAAUUACUGCAUGGUAAUUUAUUUAAACAUUUAUGGCUUACAGAUGGGCAUGCGCAUGAUUAGCUAGUUGGAGAGGUAACGGCUCCCCAAGGCAACGAUCAUUAGGGGUUCUGAGAGGAAGGUCCCCCACACUGGUACUGAGACACGGACCAGACUCCUACGGGAGGCAGCAGUGAGGAAUAUUGGUCAAUGGACGAGAGUCUGAACCAGCCAAGUCGCGUGCAGGAAGAAUGUCCCUAUGGAUUGUAAACUGCUUUUGCAGGGGAAUAAAGUGCAUCACGUGUGAUGUUUUGUAUGUACUCUGCGAAUAAGGAUCGGCUAACUCCGUGCCAGCCGCCGC